GUAACAAAAUAAAACCCCGAAGUCAUAUUAAACUUUAGACCCGUGCCCAUCCUGCGAUCUGGAGAAGGAAAAUGUAAGAUAAUGAAGUAGGUUCUUGUAAAUCAGAAACUGAAAAAUGGAUUUUCAGCGAUAGGGUAGGUUUCUCCGAUGAUGGGGUCAUGUAUUCGAUGUCCCGGCGAGAAACUAGCCGAUUGUAGCUGCACACCGUGAAAGAGAGAGGAGAUCGAAGGGCUUACAAAUGAGUUCUGCAGAGGUAUUUGUGCGGAGGUUGAAAAUGCCUGUCCCUUGGUUGUGUUUGCGCGGCAAAACUGAUGAGAAUAUGAAGAUGAGUUUGGUCAAUUGGGAAGCUGUUUGUCAACCUAAAGCUCGGCCAAGGAUUGUGUUCUACAUCAUUUUUUUUCUUCGAGAAUAAAGCAAAGGAGGGUUUGCCUUGGAUCAAAAGGCGAUACCAGAUGCUUAUCCUCCAUGAUGCUAUUAGUGUGUGUACUUGCUCCUUGGUUGCAAGUUAGGAAUUUCUAUCUUUAAAUAUUUUCUUUGAAGGGCUAACAGUUUCAGUAAUUUUAGUUGCCAUGGAUCAAUGUUCUUUUCUCUUCUUAAUGAAGAAGAAAGAUUCAGGUUUCUUGAAUAUAAAAUACUUCCAUUUUAAGCUUUUGCAAGAUUCGAUUUAAAAUCUCAUUGUCAGCAUAGUGGUGACAAUAUUAUUGAAUGCUUUUCUUGUGGGUGACUUAUGUAUUUCUACACGUCCAACUUAUAACAUUGUCAAUAUUCCCUAAAUAGAGUUUGUGUUUUGUUCA